GGCGGCGCGCUUAACACAUGCAAGUCGAGCGAGAACCAUGGCUUCGGCCAUGGGGACAGCGGCGAACGGGUGAGUAACACGUGGGUAAUCUGCCCUCGACACUGGGAUAGCCCGGGGAAACCCGGAUUAAUACCGGAUAGCCUUUCGAGCUCUCGGGCUCGUCAGAAAAGAUGGCUUCGGCUUUCGGUUGAGGAGGAGCCUGCGGCGGAUUAGCUUGUUGGUGAGGUAACGGCCCACCAAGGCGACGAUCCGUAGCUGGUCUGAGAGGACGAUCAGCCACACUGGGACUGAGACACGGCCCAGACUCCUACGGGAGGCAGCAGUGGGGAAUCUUGCGCAAUGGGCGAAAGCCUGACGCAGCGACGCCGCGUUGAGGGAAGAAGGCCUUCGGGUUGUAAACCUCUUUCAGGAGGGACGAA
rnacentral:rRNA from 1 species